UACGGGGGGGCAAGCGUUGUUCGGAAUUACUGGGCGUAAAGGGCUGGUAGGCGGCCAACUAAGUCGGAUGUGAAAUCCCCAGGCUUAACCUGGGAACUGCAUCCGAUACUGGUCGGCUUGAAUCCGGGAGAGGGUCGUGGAAUUCCCGGUGUAGCGGUGAAAUGCGUAGAGAUCGGGAGGAACACCAGAGGCGAAGGCGGCGACCUGGACAGUUACUGACACUCAACUACGAAAGCGUGGGGAGCAAACAGG
rnacentral:rRNA from 1 species